rnacentral:rRNA from 1 species
GACGAACGCUGGCGGCGUGCCUAAUACAUGCAAGUUGAGCGAUGAAGAUUGGUGCUUGCACCAAUUUGAAGAGCAGCGAACGGGUGAGUAACGCGUGGGGAAUCUGCCUUUGAGCGGGGGACAACAUUUGGAAACGAAUGCUAAUACCGCAUAACAACUUUAAACAUAAGUUUUAAGUUUGAAAGAUGCAAUUGCAUCACUCAAAGAUGAUCCCGCGUUGUAUUAGCUAGUUGGUGAGGUAAAGGCUCACCAAGGCGAUGAUACAUAGCCGACCUGAGAGGGUGAUCGGCCACAUUGGGACUGAGACACGGCCCAAACCCCUACGGGAGGCAGCAGUAGGGAAUCUUCGGCAAUAGACGAAAGUCUGACCGAGCAACGCCGCGUGAGUGAAGAAGGUUUUCGGAUCGUAAAACUCUGUUGGUAGAGAAGGACGUUGGUGAGAGUGGAAAGCUCAUCAAGUGACGGUAACUACCCAGAAAGGGACGGCUAACUACGUG